rnacentral:rRNA from 1 species
GACGAACGCUGGCGGCGUGCUUAACACAUGCAAGUCGAACGAUGAAGCCGGAGCUUGCUCCGGUGGAUUAGUGGCGAACGGGUGAGUAACACGUGAGCAAUCUGCCCUUGACUCUGGGAUAACUGCGGGAAACUGUAGCUAAUACCGGAUACGACACCUUGGGGUAUCCCAGGGUGUGGAAAGAAUUUCGGUCAAGGAUGAGCUCGCGGCCUAUCAGCUAGUUGGUGAGGUAAUGGCUCACCAAGGCGACGACGGGUAGCCGGCCUGAGAGGGUGACCGGCCACACUGGAACGGAGACACUGUCCAGACGCCUACGGGAGGCAGCAGUGGGGAAUAUUGCACAAUGGGCGAAAGCCUGAUGCAGCAACGCCGCGUGAGGGAUGAAGGCCUUCGGGUUGUAAACCUCUUUUAGCAGGGAAGAAGCGAAAGUGACGGUACCUGCAGAAAAAGCACCGGCUAACUACGUGCCAGCAGCCGCCGUAA